UGGGGGAUAUUGCACAAUGGGCGAAAGCCUGAUGCAGCGACGCCGCGUGGGGGAUGAAGGCCUUCGGGUUGUAAACUUCUUUUGCUCUGAACAAGGCAUGCUAAUGGGUGUGUUGAGUGUAGGGGUUGAUUAGCGCCGGCUAACUACGUGCCAGCAGCCGCGGUAAUACGUAGGGCGCGAGCGUUGUCCGGAAUUAUUGGGCGUAAAGGGCUUGUAGGUGGCUGGUUGCGUCUGUCGAGAAAGCUCAUGGCUUAACUGUGGGUUUGCGGUGGGUACGGGCUGGCUUGAGUGCAGUAGGGGAGGCUGGAAUUCCUGGUGUAGCGGUGGAAUGCGCAGAUAUCAGGAGGAAUACCGGUGGCGAAGGCGGGUCUCUGGGCUGUUACUGACACUGAGGAGCGAAAGCAUGGGGAGCGAACAGG
rnacentral:rRNA from 1 species